CACGUAGGAGGCGAGCGUUGUCCGGAAUCAUUGGGCGUAAAGAGCGCGCAGGCGGCUUGGCAAGUCGGAUGUGAAAUCCCCGGGGCUCAACCCCCGGGACUGCAUUCGAUACUGUCAGGCUAGAGGUAGGUAGGGGAGAUCGGAAUUCCUGGUGUAGCGGUGAAAUGACGCAGAUAUCAGGAGGAACACCGGUGGCGAAGGCGGAUCUCUGGGCCUUACCUGACGCUCAGGCGCGAAAGCUAGGGGAGCGAACAGG
rnacentral:rRNA from 1 species